rnacentral:lncRNA from 10 species
GUCUAUGAAUUUUUUUCUCUGGGUCACGGAAUUGAAGAAAAUGACAUUUGUUUCUUGCAAGGCUUUGUAAGCUGUAAAUUUCUUAUGCAUAAUAAUAUGCAACUUUCUCUGCAUUGAAAAGACGACACAUGGAGAGACGCAGAAAGGAAUGGAGACACCUGGAGGAGUUCUGUUCCUGGAUUCCAGUUGCUUCUGCAUCACGUGUCCUUGCUCUUUCUGUCGCUUAGAAACUAGUACUCUCAGAACAUGGAGUGGAAGAGGUGAUCAUGGUAGCAACAGACUGAGGAGUGAAUUUGAACUUGAGUUUUGUCUUGCUGUUUUUCAUUGAUGGAACCCAACUGGAAAUCAGAAUACAAGGGCACUCGAUUAAUUCAGUUCACAGAGGACUUCUUCCUGUGGCACGGAGCAUGGUGGGGAAAGGUACAAAGUAGACCUCGAGAAACAAACAGCAUGGUGACCAGUCACAAAAUGUAUACAGAAAAUUAACAGAUUUUUUUUCCUUGAAGAGAUCAAAUCUAAAAAACAGUAUAAAAAUAAGAAUGUGCAGGAUCUAUAUAAAGAAAUCUAUACUCUACCAAGGUACCUGAAAAAAUACACAGAUAAAUGAAGGCUUAUGGCUUGAUUUUAGGUAUAAAAAGUUAAUGUUUAAAGACAUCCAUUUAUCCACCUGGAUAAACAUGGUCAUUAUUUUUUAAAUCAAAGUCCCAAGAGCUCCAUUUCACAACCUGAAACUAUUUAAAAUCAUGUUAGAAAAUUAAAUAGUAAGAAAAUACUAGAAAAAAUCAGAAGAAUGAGUAGAAUCAUAGAGCUACAAUAAUUAAAAUAGGAUGGUUUGGGGGGAAGAUCAGUAAGUUAGAUCAAUGAAAUUGCAUAGAAAAGCAAGAAAUUGAUUAUUAUAUUUCUAUGGGCACGUGAAAACUGUGGCAUUUCUAAUCACAGGGGAACUUAUAGAUUAUAAGAUAAAAGACAUUAAGCCUAUUGGAUAACUAGUUUAGAGAAAAGAAAAUUCAGUUACGAUCUGACCUCAAGAAAAAAAUGUAAAUAGAUUAAAUAUGUAUAUGUAAAAUCAAAAAAAUCAUGAAUAUAUAAAUAAAAUUCGAUAAGUGUUUCUAUAUUUCAGAUGUGGGUCUAUACGGUAAUUUUAUAAUAAAUCAAUUAAAAGAUAUACUAAAAUCAUUUUAACUGGGUGAAAACCAUUUUCACUCACUUAAUUUUUUAAAAUGGUGAAAUCCACUCAUAAACAGUAGCCAGAAAUCAAAGUCAGAAGGCUAAUAUGUAUUUAAAAAGCUAAAGGGUUAGCUUUAGGAGUGUCCAACCUAUGGAGUCACACAGGACCAUAGUUAAUAAUGGCCUCAUACUUGGUUUGAUAUUCUGCUGUCACAGUCUUGAAAUCCUUAACAAUUUUUGAACAAAGAGCCCUGGAUUUUCGUUUUGCACUCAGUCCUGCAAAUUAGGUAGCGAUCCUAGUUAACCUUCCCAUAUACUGAGUGAAAUACAAACUAAAACCUGAAUUUAAAAAUUGUUUUUAGGUUGAAAACAGUAAAAUAAAAACACUUAUUUUUUUUACUUGACAACAUCAAGAAUGCAGAAAAAGAAACACUCAUAUACCUUUAGUUCAACCAUUUGCAAAUACUCAGGAAUCAUAUAUCAAAAUUUAAAGUGAAUACUUUUUAUUGAGCAUUUUUUUCUACAGGAAUACAUCUACAGGAACUAAUUGAACCCAUACAUAAAAAUCAGGAUAUUUAUCACAGUAUUGCUAAUAAUAACAAAAAUAUGUGAACCAAUCUAAAUGUUCAUAAAAAUUGGUUAUAUAUUGAAGGAUACAUUUCUGUAGUUUCAUUUAUGCUUCAACCUUAAAUGUGAUAUAAAUAUACGUAUAAACACACACAUUUGAAAUGUAAAGAUGUACAGUAGAGUGAUAUGGAAAGAUACUCAUGAUUCAUUGUUACGUGGAAAGCCAACUAUGUAACAGCAAAGAUAGUGAAAUGCUACAGGUAGCUGUACAGAACUUUUUAUAUAUAGGUAUAAAAAUGUGUGAAAAGAAAAACAAAGAUAUUUUUAUCCAGAAUUACAGGAACUUUUAUUUUCUUGUUACAAUUUUAGAUAGCCUUCCUUUUAACAAUGGGCUUUUAUUUCUAUUAAAAUAGAAAAAUAAAUCAGCUUGAACUAAUAAGAACUGGGUCAUUUAUGGCUGUGAUCAUUUAAAUAUUUAUAUAAAUAAUUUCCAAAAAUAGUUAUUUUUUUUAUAAAACAAAGGAAUUAAUGUAAACAGUUUGGAAAGAAAAGUUAAAUAACUUUAAAAAGUUAUGUUGUUGCAAACAUGUCAAUUAUACAGCUAAAAAUUGGGGGGUGUAAGUAUAAGUAUACUAGUUUCCUAAUCUUAAAAAUCAGCAAUUACAUCUAUACUGCUUCAGCCCUGACACAGAUAGGUAGAAGAAUAUAGGUUUCAUUUUAUUUUUGCAAAGCAUAAAGGCAGUCAAAUUUACAAAGAUUUGGAGAAGCAUAGAAAAUAAUUUCAGAUGGUACAUGAUUAUGAGAUAGAAACGUGAGGUAGUAUGUCUUGAACUGGAGUGAAGAAUAGUACUUAAUGUGAAAAAUAAUAAUUUAUACAGAUUCAAAUUCAAUUAAAAAGGAAACCAUAUCACACUUAAUGAACUGCAGAAAAUUUUAGUCUUUCAUCUAAAAUGAGAACACACAGAAUGUAGCUGAAUCCAGACGAUGUAUUACAGUCAUUGAGUUAAUUCUCUAUGCUGAUUAAAAUAAAGACAUAAUCUCCCAUAAAUUGCUUCCUGAUAUUCCUUUAAGUUGUUUUACUCGAACGAGAUUUAAGAUGGAGAAAUAUAGCAGACAUCUAAAUGCAGGACCACCUGCAGGUUGAGUCUCAGAAGUCUGAUGAGUAGAGAUACUUUAGUCAGGUGUCUGAUGCAAAACAUCACAUUUCUAUCAUCAUUUUCAACUGGAAAGGGGCUUCUUGGAGGUAAUCUAGGACUGUAUGGUAGUCAGAAUGAAAAGUAACAUAAUACAAAUUUCAUCUGUAUAUUUGAACUAUUAAAAUUUACUUUAAAAAAUUAUUGGAUAUUUAGUCAUCUUGCCAAAAUCACUUAAAGUAUAUUAAGUUAUUUUAUGCACUCUUUGGAAACAUUUUUACCUAUGUAAUCAAAGUGGUAGAAUAAGAAACAUUAUAUAAAAAUUCAAAAGUUGAAUCCACUUUGUCUGUAUUCAUUAUAUUGACAGCUGGAUAAAAUAAAAUAAUUAAAGAACUUAUGCCUUUCAGAACAUUAACUAACAGUUUCUAACUGCUUCAGUUAUUCAAGAUAAGUUCUGGAUAUCUAUACAGCAUAGUGACCAUAGGUAGCAAUACUAUUUUAUUGUUAAAAUUUAUUAAGAUAGUAGGUCUUAUGUUAAUUCUUUCUAACACACAAACACACACAGAUUAAUAAAAAGGAAGUGGGAAGAAACUUUGGGAGGUGAUGGAUAUUUAUAACCUUGAAGAUGGUGAUGCAUCAUGGAUGUAUACUUACUGCUAAACUUAUGAAGUUGUAUAUGCUAAAUACGUACAGCGUUUUACAUGUCAAUCAUAUGUCAAUAAAGUGGUUUAAAACAAAAACAGAAACAAAUCUACAUUAAUUGUAAAUGCUUAUAAGUUAUCAAAAGCAAUACUGAAUUAACGAGUGGUGAUUUGUGAAAAAUGUUUUUUUUUAAUGAAGCUGACCCUAUACAUAGGUGGAUGCUUUAGUGACAAAAUUUGUUGAUGCUUGCGAAAACUUCAGACGAUAGGUGGCCAAAUGAAUAAAAAACAAAACUGCUGCUGAUUUUCUUUAGUGGGUUUCUGUAGAUCAUAAGCAUAAGGAGUAGCCGUUGUGUUUUUUAAAAAAUUCAGAUACUCAUACUGAAUGGGCAAAAGCUGGAACCAUUCCCCUUGAAAACAGGCACAAGACAAGGAUGCCCUCUCUCACCUCUCCUAUUCAGCAUAUUGGAAGUUCUGGCCAGUACAAUGAGGCAAGAGAAAGAAAUAAAGGGUAUUCAAAUAGGAAGGAGGAAGUCAAACUUUGUUUGCACAUGACAUGAUCCUGUAUCUAAAAAACCCUAUAACUCAGCCCCAAAGCUUCUUAAGGUGAUAAGCAACUUCAGCGAAGUCUCAGGAUACAAAAUCAAUGUCCAAAAAUUGCUAGCAUUUCUAUACACCAACAACAGUCAAGCAGAGAACCAAAUCAUGAAUAAACUCCCAUUCACAGCUGCCACAAAAAGAAUAAAAUACCUACGAAUACAGCUAACCAGGGAAGUGAAGGACCUUUUCAAGGAAAACUACAAACCACUGCUCAAAGAAAUCAGAGAUGACACAAAUGCAAAAACAUUCCAUGCUCGUAGAUAGGAAGAAUCAAUAUCGUGAAAAUGGCCAUAUUGCCCAAAGCAAUUUAUAGAUUUAAUGCUACUUCCAUUAAACUACCAUAGACAUUCUUCACAGAAUUAGAAAAGAACUAUUUUAAAAUAUGGAACCAGAAAGGUGCCAGAAUAGCCAAGACAAUCCUAAGCAAAAAGAAGAAAGCUGGAGGCAUCAUGCUGCCUGACUUCAAACUAUCUACAAGGCUACAUUACCCAAAACAGCAUAGUCCUGGUACAAGACUAGACACAUAGACCAAUGGAACAGAGUAGAGAACCCAGAAAUAAAACCAAACACCUACGACCAUCUGAUCUUUGACAAACCUGACAAAAACAAGAAAUGGGGAAAGGAUUCCCUAUUUAAUAAAUGGUGCUGGGAGAACUGGCUAGCAAUAUGCAAAAAAAAUGAAACUCGAACCCUUCCUUAUACCAUAUACAAAAAUCAACUCAAGAUGAAUUAAUGACUUAAAUGUAAAACCCAAAACUAUAAAAACCCUAGAAGAAAACCUAGGCAAUACCAUUCAGGACAUAGGCAUAAGCAAAGUUUUCAUGACAAAGAUCCAAAAAGCAAUUGCAACAAAAGCAAAAGUUGACAAAUGGGAUCUAAUUAAAGAGAUUCUGCACAGCAAAAUAAACUAGCACAGCAAAAUAAACUAUCAACAGAGUGAACAGACAAUGUACAGAAUGGGAGAAAAUUCUUGUAAUCUAUUCAUCUAACAAAGGUCUAACAUUCAACAUCUACAAGGAACUUAAAACAAAUUUACAAGAAAACAACAGACAAGCCCAUUGAAGAG